rnacentral:Y_RNA from 1 species
GGGUCCGAGUGCAGUGGCUUUUACAACUAACUGAUCACAACCAGUUACAGAUAUCUUUGUUUUUUCUCUACUCCUACUGCUUCACUUGACUAGCCUUUA